AACGAACGCUGGCGGCAUGCCUAACACAUGCAAGUCGAACGAGACCUUCGGGUCUAGUGGCGCACGGGUGCGUAACGCGUGGGAACCUGCCCUUAGGUUCGGAAUAACUCCCCGAAAGGGGUGCUAAUACCGGAUAAUGUCUUCGGACCAAAGAUUUAUCGCCUUUGGAUGGGCCCGCGUUGGAUUAGCUAGUUGGUAGGGUAAAAGCCUACCAAGGCGACGAUCCAUAGCUGGUCUGAGAGGAUGAUCAGCCACACUGGGACUGAGACACGGCCCAGACCCCUACGGGAGGCAGCAGUGGGGAAUAUUGGACAAUGGGCGAAAGCCUGAACCAGCAAUGCCGGGUGAGUUAUGAAGGCCUUAGGGUUGUAAAGCUCUUUUACCCGGGAUGAUAAUGACAGUACCGGGAGAAUAAGCCCCGGCUAACCCCGG
rnacentral:rRNA from 1 species